GUUUUAGUAUUUUAAAUAAAAUAAUGACUUUGUAAGUCAAGAAUAAGAUUUUAUAUCUUUUAAAACA
rnacentral:tRNA from 1 species